GAUGAAGAACGCAGCGAAAUGCGAUAAGUAGUGUGAAUUGCAGAAUUCCGUGAAUCAUCGAAUCUUUGAACGCACAUUGCGCCUUCUGGUAUUCCGGAAGGCAUGCCUGUUCGAGAGUCAUUAACAACCGUUUCGAUCCCCUUCUUUCAGAAAUUACAAAGAGGAAAAGGGUUUGGUUAUGGUGGAGGAGGGAAAGGGAGCGUUUAGCCUGUAAAAAAAGAGGCUGUGUUCCGCCUCCCCCCCAAAAUUGUACAGGCGGUCGUGUGCGCCCACGCAUCGAGGUGUUGUAAAAGCUGCCACGGCACUUUUCACCUGUGCAGUGCGAGAUUGGCCAGCCGGUUUAAAAACCCCUCCAAACAAUCAAAGGUUGACCUCGGAUCAGGUAGGGAUACCCGCUGAACUUAAGCAUAUCAAUAAGCGGAGGA
rnacentral:misc_RNA from 1 species